GUGCAGCAGUCGAGAAUUUUUCUCAAUGGGGGCAACCCUGAAGGAGCGACGCCGCGUGGAGGAUGAAGGCUUUCGGGUUGUAAACUCCUGUCAUUUGGGAACAAGUUGGACGCAGUAACUACGCGUCCAUUGAUAGUACCAGAAGAGGAAGGGACGGCUAACUCUGUGCCAGCAGCCGCGGUAAUACAGAGGUCCCAAGCGUUGUUCGGAUUCAUUGGGCGUAAAGGGUGCGUAGGUGGCGCCGUAAGUGGGGUGUGAAAUUUCGGAGCUUAACUCCGAAACUGCAUUCCAUACUGCGGUGCUUGAGGACUGGAGAGGAGACUGGAAUUCAUGGUGUAGCAGUGAAAUGCGUAGAGAUCAUGAGGAAGACCAGUGGCGAAGGCGGGUCUCUGGACAGUUCCUGACACUGAGGCACGAAGGCCAGGGGAGCAAACGGGAUUAGAUACCCCUGUAGU
rnacentral:rRNA from 1 species